GCUUAACUGUGGAUACGCAUUUGAAACUUCAGUACUUGAGUUCAGGUGAGGAGAAUGGAAUUCCAGGUUUAGGGGUGAAAUCUGUAGAUAUCUGGAAGAACACCAGUGGCGAAGGCGAUUCUCUAACCUGAUACUGACACUGAGGCGCGAAAGCGUGGGGAGCGAACAGGAUUAGAUACCCUGGUAGUCCACGCUGUAAACGAUGGACACUUGGUGUUGGAAGAGAUUAAUCUUCUAGUGCCGUAGCUAACGUGUUAAGUGUCCCGCCUGGGAAGUACGGUCGCAAGACUGAAACUCAAAGAAAUUGACGGGGGCCCGCACAAGUGGUGGAGCAUGUGGCUUAAUUCGAUGAUACGCGAGGAACCUUACCAGGGCUUGACAUGCAUCGGACAGUCCCAGAAAUGGGGUUUCCCUUCGGGGCUGAUGUACAGGUGCUGCAUGGUUGUCGUCAGCUCGUGCCGUGAGGUGUUGGGUUAAGUCCCGCAACGAGCGCAACCCUCAUUCCCUGUUGCUACCGGAUAAUGCCGGGCACUCUGGGAAAACUGCCGGUGACAAACCGGAGCGAAGGCGAGGAUGACGUCAAAUCAUCAUGGCCCUUAUGCCCUGGGCUGCACACGUGCUACAAUGGACAGUACAAAAGGUUGCGAAACCGCAAGG
rnacentral:rRNA from 1 species